UACGUAGGGUGCAAGCGUUAAUCGGAAUUACUGGGCGUAAAGCGUGCGCAGGCGGCUUUGCAAGACAGAUGUGAAAGCCCCGGGCUCAACCCGGGAAGUGCACUCGAAACUGCUUGGCUCGAGUGCCGGAGAGGGAAGCGGAAUCUCGGUGUAGAGGUGAAAUUCGUAGAUAUCGAGAGGAACACCAGUGGCGAAGGCGGAC
rnacentral:rRNA from 1 species